GACGAAUCUAAUAUUUUUAUUCUCUCCUUCACUGGACUAAGCUACUCUUCGUUCUUUAUUAUUCUUUUCCUGCUUAUUUCUUCUUCUUCUCUUCACCUGCAAUUGAAAAUCGAAAAAUAAAUGGAGGAUUUGAGAUCGUAGAAGGAGGGAAAUGAUCAAGAAUCGAGUGAUAGUAAUUGUGUGAGUUUGUGUGGUUGAUUCGAAUGCAACAGAAAAGGAAAUUUAUGAGGCAAAGUUUAUAACAUCGAUUUAGGAGGCAAAGUUUGAUUACAAAGACGAUGCAGAGGAAAUGAAGAACAAGUUAAAAAAAGGUGGUUUAUGUCCCGUAUUGCAGAAAAAUGGUUGAACUGACAACAGUGAUUCUACUACAAUUUUUAAAAGGUAUUAGAGCAAUCAAAUGAAGGUGGAGUUCAAAAUUCAGGAACAUUGAUGGGUUAAGUGAGUCAGCAAAGAAAAUAUACGUUACUAAGCUAAUUUGCUGCUUUGUAUGGAGGGAUUUAAUGCUAUGAGUAAGAUUUCCUGUUGUUUCAUUUUCCUUUUCUUAUUGAUUUUACUUUGUUAUUAAACUAUAUAGGCUGAACAGAUGGGCAUAAAACUGUUAGACUGAACAGAUGUGCAUAACAUUGUCAACGAGAUAGGGCGAAACCGAGCCACGUCAAAUAAAAAAUCUUAAACAUGCAUCGAGAUAGGGUGAGGCGAAGCCGAGCUAAACCAAAUUAAAAAUCUUAAACAUGUAUCGAGAUGGGGCGAGAUCGCCCGGUGCGUAGCACGGGCACAAAAUCUAAUUUUACUUUAUUUUGCAAACGCCUCUUGACUGAAGAGGUAAAAAAAAUUUGAUGUUAAUACUCAUGCUGAAUUUUAAUUUUUUUUCAACUAAAUAGUUACCCAUGGAUGAUUAUUUUUUGAAUAUAGAUUUUGCAUAUGGAAAAGCCAUCUUAUCCUGGUAAAAUUUUCCAAAAAAUUGUAGUCAAGGCCUCCGGAUUCUUUGAGAGUGUCAUCCUGAGUAAUAAUACAAUCAACCUUUUCCUUUUUUC